GCUGAGAUUGUUCAUUUAAAUUCAUACUCAUUAUAUUAAGAAGACAUUAGGCUGUUAGAAAUAUGUGUUGCUCAAGCUCCAGCACUUUUCAUAAAUUUGAGUAGACAAUAUACAAGCAAACUGCAUAAUAUGAUGUCAUGAUGACCCAGCUCAUAGGCCAUGGCAAAGAUGGCAGACACACACGGUAUCAACUGAAAAGUGCACAGAGUUAUUGUUCACAAAAGAUAAUAGCAAAAACAUGGUUAAGUUAUGAGGUGUGUAAAUCUGUGUGUCAGUGUGUCGGCAGGUGAACGGGUGCGUGAGUGAUGUAUGCUGGGUGUUGUAUGGUGUAGAACACAAACUGAAAACCACAGGCCUGUGCUACGAAGCAGGGUUUGGAGUUAGCGAGGUAACUUCAGGGUUAACUCUGGGUUUUCAGUGCUAUGAAGCUGGUUCUCUCUUUACUGGGAUAAAUCACCGUGGUAACUUAUUCUGAGCAGCUAACCUGCUCCGGAGCAGGUUAACUUCAGGGUAAGAGAUCACAGCCUGUCAGUACCCCGACCUCUGACUGCUGCUAUUUCACACUCUGAUCCCAUCACUGCAGCUCAACAUAACAUGAGAUACCUGUGUGAUGAGAACUAGGAUAAAACAGAUCAUAUUUUAUUAGUAAAAUAAUCCACACACGGUUAAUUGGCUCCUCUUAUUAUAAAUGCAACAUUUCGGUCAGAUAGACCUCAUUAAUCAUUAACUACUUUUCCACCCUUUACUUCAGCAACACAAACAGUCUGGUGUUACUUUAAAGUGUUUUAUGUGACAUAUUCAGAGGAGUUUUAUCACCUAAACAGCAAAACAUACUUUGUACUAAUGUCACAUGUAGCUCAGUGAUACCUACAGGUAAUUUAAAGCCCUAUUCGGGUGGGAUUAGUUUAACGUGGAGACGUGGGGUAAAGUAAUUAUUACCAGGGAUUUUAGUCCCGUCUGAACGCGCCAUGUCUUUAAUCGUUACGGAUAAUGUCAGUAAAAAUUACGGCGACUUUUACCUUCUGUAAAACAGUCCAGAGAAAAUACCUCAGGUAAUAUCGAUUCCGUGCGAACGCGAUCCUCUGUAAAAAUUUGUGUAAAUAUUUCGUCACGUCACUGAGGCUGGGGAGCAUCACAUCCAGCUCCCAGUCCAUCAGCACUGGUGCCCCCCAGGGGUGUGUCCUCUUCCCACCGCUCUUCUCCCUGUAUACUUACGACUGCACCUCAAGGGACCCUUCUGAGACACGCCUCUGUGAAACUCCUGAAAUUUGCGGACGACACCACAGUCAUCGGUCUAAUCCGGGACUGUGGUGAGUCUGCAUACAGACAGGAGGAGGAGCAGCUGGUCCUCUGGUUGGGUCGGAACCACCUGGAGCUGAACCUGCUCAAGACUGUGGAAAUGACGGUGGACUUUAGGAGAAGCCCCCCAACACUGCUCCACCUCACCAUCCUCAACAGCUCAGUGUCUACUGUGGACAUCUUAAGGUUUCUUGGUACCACAGUCUCUUGGGACCUGAAGUGGACCUCCCACAUAAACACUGUCCGGAAAAAGACCCAUCAGAGACUGUACUUCCUGCGACAGCUCAGGAAGCUCAACCUGCCUCAGGAACUGCUGAUCAUGUUCUACACAUCCAUCACCGUCGGUUUGGAUCUGCCACCAAACUGGACAGGAACAGACUGAAAAGGACAAUCAGGUGCGCAGAGAGGAUUAUCCCUCCAUUGAGGACCUGUACAGGUCAAGGAUCAGGAUCAGGAUCAGGAUCCUCCUCUCCGGUAGGCGCUACAGAGCACUGUUCACCAAAACUACCCGUCACAAAUACAGUUUCUUCCCCCAGGCUGUUGCUCUUAUGAACUCCUACACAGUCACAACAAACAACACUGCAUCCUUGUACAUUGCAUAUAUUUUUUAUAUUUGAUGUAUAGUUGUAUAUUUUUUGUAUAUUGUAUAUUCUGUAUGGUUACUUUGUAACGCGUUACACCCAACACUGGAUGUAUGUAGGUUUGUUAGUUGUCUCAGACUGGAGAGCAGUGUGCAUGUGUGUGAUGUUGAUUUUUCUUAAUCUGCUUCAUUGUUGAUAUUUAGUGUAUUUUACAUUUUGUGGUGGAGAGUAUGGAUUCGGACAUUUUGAUUUGUGUGUGGUUGCUGCAACAUGUUUUAAUUUUAUAUCUCUUAAUGAUGAAUUAUGAAAUAUGACCUAUGAAUAAAUAAAUACCUCAUCCCAACAGUAUCAUACAAAAAACCUUUAAAUGACCACAAAUUUGAAUCGUUACCUCUCUGAAACAGUUUUCGGCAUUAACCUAAUUAUAUGGUGCAUGACUCCUUUUUUAUGGAUUUUAGUUGUUGGUUUAAAUGAUAUCAUACAGGUCAAAAGAUGCAGAAAAUGUGUGUCUGUGCUGCGUGUAGGUUUUGUUUACCCACGGUAGGGAGUACAUAUAUGAAAUGAAAGAUUUGUUGACCUCCCCCAGGAUAUUUGCACAUCAAACACUAAAUUUUCUGCAC